AAGACUAUACUUUCAGGGAUCAUUUCUGUAGUUUGUUACUAGAGAAGUUUCUCUGGACGCGUAGAGCACCAGAAGCCACAUGGAGGAGGCGCAGGUUCUCUCCUGGGCGUGAAACAGCUCUUGGUGCUGUUUCAGAGCGACUGCCAUUUGCCAUGGAGGCUCGUUCUUCUCUCCCUCUGGGGGAGUAAGAGGGAGAGGACGCAGUCUGAGUGGU
rnacentral:snoRNA from 1 species